rnacentral:rRNA from 1 species
UACCAGCACCCCGAGUGGUCGGGACGUUUUAUUGGGCCUAAAGCAUCCGUAGCCGGUUCUACAAGUCUUCCGUUAAAUCCACCUGCUUAACAGAUGGGCUGCGGAAGAUACUAUAGAGCUAGGAGGCGGGAGAGGCAAGCGGUACUCGAUGGGUAGGGGUAAAAUCCGUUGAUCCAUUGAAGACCACCAGUGGCGAAGGCGGCUUGCCAGAACGCGCUCGGACGGUGAGGGAUGAAAGCUGGGGGGAGAAAC